GUGUCGGGAGUGUUCCCAGGUGCCCCACGCGCCUUCGCUGUGCUCGCCUUCAGCUCGGCUAAUGAUGAUGCCUUCCUUCCUUUGAACACGUCAUACCGCUGGUUUGAUUUGAGAAAUACAGUAAUGUUUUCAUGAAGGAAAAAAGCAUAUAAGCCUAUGAGCUUCACUUGGACUUGAGCCCUGGGAAAAUCACCAAGUUGCACACUGUGGUACAGAAAAGCUGAAUGCAUCAGAUUUAAUGACCAGACAGCCAAAAUAACAGAAUAACUGAUCUACAGUGCCUUUUAAAAACUAAAGAAAUCUAUUAUCUCACAUAUGGAGAAAAUCAGAGGAAGAGCCGCUUUAGCCAAGACAUGAUAUAGUGUGAUAUGAUGUCACAAAAGACUCAGUUCCUCUACAUUUAAUUGCCCUGCCUUCCAUGUUUCUCCCUGUGAUUUAAGAUGAUUGCAGAAGCUUUGGGGCCUAGUUCAUUCACUUCCACCAGCAAUGAGAGCAUCUUUAAACCUAGGAUUUCCUACAAAACUUGGAACUACAAUGGUAAAUACCCUGGAUCUUUGGUUUUUCAAUCUGCAACUAAAGAAUAAAGAUCACUGAAAUAGACCAGUCUUAUGGUUUCUUCUUUCCCCUAAUCCCUUUCAAAACAAAACAGAAUAGACUUCAGUGACUCUGCACAUGCUUUGAUCAUCGUGGGAUUCUACCACCCAUUCUUACAUACCUGCAUGGACAUGAUCCAAGUUGGGUCGAGCAGUAUGGACAACAGGAAAGAGGACUCUUUCAUGUAUGGAUAUUGGGAGCAAGAAAUUCUCUUUCUGCUGGGGUUUCUAACUAGGAACAACAUGUGUUCUUCAUAUGAAUGACUUGAAAAUAACCAGCAUUUUGCAGCAACACAAGACAAAGGAAGCACCACUCUUAGAAUACCCAGUCAUAGGAAUCAAUAAAUUCUCUUUUUACUUAAGAUGGUUUCAACUGAAUUUCUAUCACUUGUACCUGAAAAAAUUCCUAACUAAUAAAUAUAUUUGUAUCACAUAUGGCAACCUCCUCAAUGAUGCUGUGAAUAAUUACUAGUUGUUUUUGGCCCAAUAUCAGAAUGAUUUCCUAAUAAAACUAAGUGAUAUAACAACUUUACAUUUUGUUUUUCAGCAAAUUCCACU